AUUGAACGCUGGCGGCAGGCCUAACACAUGCAAGUCGAACGGUAACAGGAAGCAGCUUGCUGCUUCGCUGACGAGUGGCGGACGGGUGAGUAAUGUCUGGGAAACUGCCUGAUGGAGGGGGAUAACUACUGGAAACGGUAGCUAAUACCGCAUAACGUCGCAAGACCAAAGAGGGGGACCUUAGGGCCUCUUGCCAUCGGAUGUGCCCAGAUGGGAUUCGCUAGUAGGUGGGGUAACGGCUCACCUAGGCGACGAUCCAUAGCUGGUCUGAGAGGAUGACCAGCCACACUGGAACUGAGACACGGUCCAGACUCCUACGGGAGGCAGCAGUGGGGAAUAUUGCACAAUGGGCGCAAGCCUGAUGCAGCAAUGCCGCGUGUAUGAAGAAGGCCUUCGGGUUGUAAAGUACUUUCAGCGGGGAGGAAGGGAGUAAAAUUAAUACCUUUGCUCAUUGACGUUACCCGCAGAAGAAGCACCGGCUAACUCCGUG
rnacentral:rRNA from 1 species